ensembl:lncRNA
GGCUCAAUGCGUAAAAAUACACGGGUGAAUGGAUGGUCCAGGAAAGUUUUCACAGCAGAGACGUGUGUGUUCUCAACAUGAAACUUGACCUUACAGUAUAGAAAUUGAAUAAAUAUAUAAAACAAAUAAAUAUGCAAUAGGUAAGACGAGUGAUCGUUACAUAAGAUGAACGUUCUCUCAAAACCUUUGUGUUGUGAGUGUGUGGUGUGUGAGUUUGCGCUGGUAUUACUAACAAGCUUAUGAUUGUGGUGCUUUAUGGUGGGUAAAAGUAAGUUUUAUCUAUACCGUUACAUUAUUUCCAUUCCAGCCAUCGCAAUGAGCUAAGACCUGGGUUCAAAUAGUAUUUGUAAUCUUUCAUUGAGCUGCUUGGUACAACGGAACCAAUGCAAUAGUCUGAAAAGUACAAAUCCUGCCCGACCAUCUGGCACUCCAGACGGGCUCAAAAUAUUUGAGAGAUUUCAAAUAAUAUUUGAACCCAGGUCUGUCUUUUCUCUGGUGGCAUAUUGAUCCCUUGGUGCUCAGUAGGCCGAUAGUAGCCACAGGCACGCGCCACACACACACACACCUUCAGUGUUCUUCCUCCGACUGAGAGAUAUAAUAUAGUGACUCCUCCUUCAUGUAGCAAGUUGACUUUGUGCACAAAAAUAAAAAGAAAGACUAUGGUAAUAAAUAUAGCUUAGUGUUGAUGUUGUCUUAGGGUGGUGGAGGGAUAGUGGGGAUGGAGGGAUAGUGGGGAUGGAGGGAUAGUGGGGAUGGAGGGAUAGUGGGGAUGGAGGGAUAGUGGGGAUGAAGGGAUAUGGGGACCGGAGGGAUAGUGGGGACGGAGGGAUAGUGGGGACGGAGGGAUAGUGGGGAUGGAGGGAUAGUGGGGAUGGAGGGAUAGUGGGGAUGGAGGGAUAGUGGGGAUAGAGGGAUAGUGGGGAUGGAGGGAUAGUGGGGAUGGAGGGAUGGAGGGAUAGUGGGGAUGG